AUAAAUAGCAGGUUACAGCUCCUCCUGGGCGCGCACACGCUCACACGCUCGCAAGCGAACGCAGGAAAGUCAGGCUAAAAGUGUCUGCUGCUGCUGCCGCCCCCCACUCCGCCUCCGGGAGAGCCUCGUGAAGGGAAUCCUGUUAAAAUUCAUUUUACAAACUGAAAAACAGCUUUAAAAAGGAAAAGUUAUCAGCCCAAGGACAUUAAGAGGAACUUACAACAGCACUAUCUCUUUGCUUUAUUUUUGUUACCUAUUUCAGAAAAACAACAACAACAAAAAACUAUAAAAUAUGCAUAAGGUAUACAAAGUGAAAAUAUGGCAGUUUCUGACACACCCACCACUCAGGUUAAGAAAGAGAACAAUUGCCUUUGAAGCUUCUCCAGUGCCCAUCCGGUUGGCAUCUGUCUGUUCUUCCUAAGACAUAAAUACUAUUUUGAAGUUUGUGGCUACAGUUUCCUUGCUUUUUCUUUAGAGUUUAUCUGUAUUUCUUUAUCCUAAAGAAUAUCUUUUUUGGUUUUUCAUGCAUUUAAAGUUAUAUAAAUGAAAUCAUUAUGUUUGUCAAAUUCUUCUAUAACUUGCAUU
rnacentral:lncRNA from 10 species